UACGUAGGUGGCAAGCGUUGUCCGGAUUUACUGGGCGUAAAGAGCGCGCAGGCGGUCGUCCAAGUCGCGUGUGAAAGCCCCCGGCUCAACUGGGGAGGGUCACGCGAUACUGGUCGACUCGAAGGCAGGAGAGGGUAGUGGAAUUCCCGGUGUAGUGGUGAAAUGCGUAGAGAUGUGGAGGAACACCAGUGGCGAAGGCGGACUC
rnacentral:rRNA from 1 species